ACAGUGCAUUCGUCGCUGCGUUCGUGCAUGUUGUGUGCGCUGCAACCUCGCCUUUGAAAGGACGACAACCUUGCUUUUCAAUUACAAGUUUAAGACGAUGGACACAUUGCAAAUGGCGGCAGGAGUGGAUCGGCUACAUCGGUGAAGCGACGAUUUAUAUUACAAGCGAGGCUAAUUGUAUUCUUUCGUUAUAGGUGAACGUGGGACUGUAUCAACUACAAGGACGUAGUGUCCUGUCUCAACGGUCACGCAUAUGCCUGCAAAACUGCAACUGCUUCUCACAUCGAAGAGUGGUCUGGUGCCACAUGCUCGGACAAUUAUUCGUCGGCCAUUUCGUUUGAGGAACUGUCGUGUUCGUCACUAAGGAUGAUCUUGGUUGAGCUUUGCAGUGCCAGCCUGGUGCAUCGGAGGGGUUGUGUCCAUGCAACGUGUGCUCCAUAUGUGUGUGCUGGGAUUAGUGAACCGUGUAUGCUUUCCAUUCGGCCAACGAUGAUGUACUGGAUGAAAUUUAGAGGUAUGUGCACGCCAAAAAAAGUUGGUGUUUCAAGUUCAAUGUUCUUGGUGCAUUUUUUCCCCCAUUAUCUUCUUCUUCAUUUUUCUUUUUUUUUUCUUUUUGCGAAGCCUGGAGAUCAUUUUCCGUUAGAGAACUCGAGAGGCAUAAUGUGUCUCGCGUAUUAAUUGGUACAAGUAUUCCUUCAUUACGUCCGGUACACUGUGGCUCCUGGCGUCAGCAGCGAUGUCGUACCAGUUGUUUCAGGGGGCACAGGACACCUACAGCUUUCGCAGGCUUCCUCUUGAUGUCAUCUGGUGCACUUUUUUAGAAAUGUGCCAGUUGAUCAGGCUGCACCUAUCCGUCAAUGGGUUUAGAAUGUACAUUGUACCUAUUUGAGACAUACUUGUCUGAAGUUUGGGUUUCUGGCUUUCACAGCAUUUUGCAGCCUCUCUGAAGAGUCGUUGCAAGUAGUAAGCAGCAGGCAGGUCGGGAAAAAUCUGCUGUGCCUGUUUAUUACUCACUACCUGCAGCAUGCCGCAGAAAGCAGCGAAACCAUGAAACCCAAAUGACAGACAGUAUGUCGCCAGCAGUACAUGUCCAGCUCAAUAUGACUUUUUUUCAGAGCAUUCAAGAAAACCUGUGAAGCGAAAAAGCCGCUGCUCCUUGCUCGCUCUUUCGCUGCUCCGUGAGGGCACAUCAAGCUUUGGCACACUUUGAUAUACUGGCAUCAGGAGUUUAAGAGCAGUGUUGCCCAGCAGGAGUUUACAUCAUUCUUGUUGAAUGUUUCUUUUAAGACCCCAGAACUAAGGGAGACCGAGCUUUGUUAUGCAAUGCACAAAGCAGGUGCUUUGUAUUCUGGCAAGCAAGAGAUUCAUGCCAUAUAUAGCUUCGGUGGUAAUAACGGUUCUAGUAUUGAUAUGUGGUGUUUGUCUGGUUUGCCCUCAUUAGCAGUACAAAGGAUUGUACCUGCGGUAGCAAUUUGGCCUCAAGCACUAUGAAAUAAAGAACCUGUAUACUUAA